rnacentral:rRNA from 1 species
GUUUAAAUAAGUGUUAAAUGCUACCAUUAAACUUAUCGUAUAUCACGCAUAGACCGAUUUUGUUUACGGCAGUAACAAUUUCAGCGUGUUAUCACCCAUCACAGUGAAUCACUGAAAUUUACCCUACAUUCAGUAUCACUUACGCAACUGCAGACAGCUGCUUAAUACAGUCACACUUGUCUUGACUUGGCGCAAUAAAAAUUUUCAUUGAAACACCCUCUCUUUUUUGCGGGGGCAGAUCGGUGAUCAUUUUUGUUUUGUUGCAUUCACGCAUACAAAAUUUUUUUGAUUUCUCUGUAUCGCUUAUUCUUUAAGGACAUUGCGUUACACCGUGACAAUUUUUUCUUUAUGGAUAACUCAGGGAAAGUUUGGCUAAUACGUACGAGUAUAUUUUUACUACACAUACGCACACACAUUCAAAUUAAUUUUUGUAUCGCUGUGUAUCAACUACUACUCAGCACUCAUGGUAAACUUUGGCCACGCUUGCGCGGUCAGUUUAAAGUUUAACUGCAACAUGAGAGACAUUGAGCACGCACGUGUUGUGUCUUCGGACGCUUCACAUCACGCUGAGCAGACUUUGCGAAGUUUACUUUGCGAAGCAUGUCAUACAAGCAUCUACAGCAUCAAGUCACAGGGUUGGCAAGUGUAUUUUUGAACCUUCAAAGCAGUCACGCAUACGGAAGAGUAGUUUCUGAUCCCAUAGAAGGAGCACCGUACAAUGAGAGACCGCUCUUAGUUCUAAGGAACGCAGCAGGCGCGUAAAUUGCCCAAUGCUAGUACCCUACAAUUCAAAUUGUAUUUACAUGCGUUACACAAUUUACAACAUUAUACAAGUUUUUAAUGACAGUACAUUAUAACACUUUCAUUUUUUCUGUUAUCAUUACACAUAUAUCCUUGUUCGUUGUACUUUCAGCAUAUAUAGUAUUAAUUUAUUAUUUUACUGAGGCAGUGACAAGCUGUAACGGUUGAGUAUAAAAAUGACGAGUGUCUGGCAUUGCCGCUCUUUCGGGAGCUUGGCAAGUUGCCGACGCUUUGUGUGCUCAAUUGGAAUGCGGUGAGUUUAAGCAACUCAGAACCUUUGGACGGUGUUAGUAAAAUUUCACUGUUUAUGUAUCUGAAUUUC